ensembl:lncRNA
GUCAGCAGGGUUUUUUUUUUAUCACACACUCGUUUCCUCGUAUUUCUCUUCCCCAAUCGCUCUCCUCGUUUCCAUCUGUUUUCCUCUGCCUCUCGCUUCGGUCCUCCUCUCUCUCUCUCUCUCUUCCCCCCCUACUCUUUUUUGUUUUACGACCCGAAUGAACAGACCCUUUUCUCCCUCCCUCUCCCUCCGUUGUUCUCGUUUUCCCUUCUGGUAGAGCAACACCGACGGGGGCCUUGUGUCACGGACAGAUAUUUCAUUAAAUCGGUGAAGGUUGCGCUUAGGUUAAACGGAAAUGUCCAGAAAGGCGGCGUGUCAUUGACUAUCUGCGUUUGUUUAAGAGGAUUAUUUUUUUUCAUUAUCGCAUUCGGGCUCGUGGACCUGCAGACUUGUUCCGCGCAGGAGGAGAAGCCGCGUGCACGUGUGCGCGAGGUGGGGCGCGUGCGAAGCCCCAGGAAAUACGAGCAACGGGACUGGCGUGAUCUCUCAACGGUCGUCUGUGUAACACAAAUCCAGCCUCCACACGGCCGCACGCACAUUCGUUUCUACGCUGUGGCAGUUUCUUUUUUUUUUUUUUUACUCCAGCACGCACAGCGUUUUCAGUUCCGUCAGUUGCGGAUGUCGAGGGAGCAGGACUGUGGCCUCGGGGAGCUGUUGGGGGAUGGGAGCACUGGGGCGGGGACGCGCCGCGCCGAGGGGCCCCGCAACAGGCUGAUUAAUGGGCCCCAGGUCACGGCAAUAAAAGUGGCGUGCCAGCGGCGCGGCAGCCAGGCUCAGGGGCGUUUCUCUGGGAUGAUCGAGGAGCCAAGUUUCCCUGCAGCUCUCGGCAGCGCCGACAAUUCACUCGUACUAUUUAAAGGCACUUCUCCCCCCCCCCCCCCCCCCCUCCUCCUCCUCCCCGCCCUCACACACAGCAUUCCUUUGCAGUAAUGUCCACCCUAAGUCAUCAAUGAAAACUUAGAUAUUGUCCUUUUUAGAUAGAAUCUGCCGUAGUGGGAGCAGCAAUUUAAUCUUUCCCUGUUGUUGUUUUUGCCCGUUUUUCAGGAUUUAAAAGUGGCCUCUUGAAUUUCACCAGACCGCUUUGUUCCCCUCAUCAAGGCUCAGGCGUGUUUUGAGCUCUUUGUGUUGCCAUUUCUACAACAAAUUAGUUUGUUCUUGCGGUUGUAUAUUCUUCAAUAUUACAAGUAAUACAAAAAUACCAAGUAAUGACACAAAUUACAUUUCUAUAUCUACUAAACUGACACAAAGUGCUGUAAAUUUGCUGUUAAAAAAAUCUGAGUUUAGAGAUGCAUAAAUUUGUAUAGCAAUAUAAUCCAACGUUGUUGUCAUUUUACAUUUUAGUUGUUACUUACAGACAUUUGGGGAUUUAUACACGGUGUGUGUAUGUGUAUAUCGUCCUGGCCAGAUCUAUUGUUUUAAUCAAAUUAAAUGGAAGUCAUUAAAUCAAGCCUCAUACUUCUUAACAUGUAAUAACUGCUGUAAAAUGAUGAAAUAAAUUAUGAUGUAUACAAAACAUUUACAGAUAAAGGAUGUUUGUCAUGCAAAAGUCUUGAUGUUUUUUACUUAUUUUAUUUUUAUUAUCUUAUUUUUUUUAAACACCAUUUCCACCUCCGUGGGGAUUUUCUUUCUACGUCUCCAUUCCUUCUUAAACUGAAUCUCUGGUUUAUUGUAAAUUAUACACAGUUGUCUCUUUCCCUCCAGCGUACUACACUUUUGUGCGUGUUCUCUGGUGUGAGAGUUUGUUGAUCCGUGGCUCUGCGUUGGCGGGCGGCAAAUGGUCUCCCACAGAAGUGGUCUCUGAUGUAUAAUCUUCCCUCGCUCCGCUAGCUGAGGCAGCCGACAGAGCGGGUCAGGGAGGGCACGGAGAAACCAGUGUGUGGGGAACGUGACUGAAUAGACGCAGCCCCACAAUGCACGUUGAGCCCACAGGGUGGGCAGGAUGGGGAGGGGGGGUGGGGGUGGCUGAGGGGCGUUGACGGAUGGGAGGGGAGCCCACACAGUUCUUUCAUCUCGUGUGUGUGUGUGACGAAGCUUCUACCUUUCGGUUCUUUGUAGAUUUGCGCCGCCNNNNNNNNNNNNNNNNNNNNNNNNNNNNNNNNNNNNNNNNNNNNNNNNNNNNNNNNNNNNNNNNNNNNNNNNNNNNNNNNNNNNNNNNNNNNNNNNNNNNCCCCCCCCCCCCCCCCCCCCCCCACCUCCGUGAUCUAAAUGUUGACCUAUGAAUUAAAUACUACCUUUUUAAAGUCUAAUUUCUAUUUCUGAGAUUUUACAACGUUUUAAGCCCUGUGAUUUCCCAAAAAAAUGAUGCGUGAGUUAUGUGUGUACGGGCGUCAGAGCCAAGACACUGACUGCUAACUGUUUGCUCCUCUCCACAGGGCAACAUCUGUUCGUGAUGUCGAUGCUGAGACACAAACCAACUUGGAACUAAGACAAGGGAACCACGUCACACACAACAUGGCAAGUCCCUGUUCUGUUUACGCUCGUUUGUCGCGUUAGUUAUGAUUCAUGCACACACGCGCAACAAACCUGAAGCAUUUAGCAACCUUUUCUUUAUUACUGUGUUUAGUGGUAAAUAUUUCAUAGUUUGUGCUUUCACUGAGCUUUUCCAAAUGUUAUUUUGAGGGCUCUGAAUCACAUUUA